rnacentral:lncRNA from 10 species
CGGGUCUUCAGUAAGGCCCCACCUUCAGGCCAGGGCUGCCAGUCUUGCACGGACUGGAGUGGGGACUUGUGGUGCCUUUUCCAGGCCCCUAUGGACCAAUCUAUAGGCACUUCCUCCCGGCUGAAGUACAUAAAAGCCCUGGGCCCUGCCAGAGCAGGGGAGAGGACAGCCAGAGCAGAGGGCAGAGGACAGAGAAACAACCAGACCACCAGCUGCAGAGAGGAGCUAUCCUCUCCUCUCUGCGAGAGCUUCAGAGACCUGCAGAGAGGGCCUUCUCUCUGCUAAGAGUAGCCGACCACAGGGGGACCAGUGGUCAGAGCGGAGUUACCCUCUCCAGGGCUUCCUCUCCGCUGUAGAGCUGAACACUGAACCACUGGACCCGACAACCUGCCUACAGAGAGGAGCUACCCACUGCGGGUCUCUUCUGAGCUGUUCUAACAGAAAUAAAGCUCCUGUUGAUGUUCUUCACCCCUCACUUGCCUGCAUAUCUCGUUCUUCCUGGAUGCAGAACAAGAACUGUAAAGGCGCCACUGGCCACAAGUUUCUGGGAAGAAAUUCAAAACCCAAAGAUCCUGUAAUAUUAUUCACCCCUCAUUACUGAAAUACAUUUUUCCUUGGGGCAUAACAACAUUUACUUUUGGCUCAGCAUUUUAAUUGUUUUCCACUGUUUUCUGGCUUCUGUUUUUGCGGGUAAGAGCCUGUUGGCAGUCAAUUACUAUUCCUCUGUAGAUAAUCUGUCUUUGCUCUGUCUGCUCUUAAGAUAAUC